GACGAACGCUGGCGGCGUGCUUAACACAUGCAAGUCGAGCGGUAAGGCCCUUUCGGGGUACGACGAGCGGCGAACGGGUGAGUAACACGUGGGUGACCUGCCCUCAGCUCUGGGAUAAGCCUGGGAAACCGGGUCUAAUACCGGAUAUGACUCCAUGACGCAUGUUGUGGGGUGGAAAGCCUUGUGCGGCUGAGGAUGGGCCCGCGGCCUAUCAGC
rnacentral:rRNA from 1 species